GGAAAUAACUUCUCGGGGGCACUACCUGAAAGUAUUGGUAAUAUGAAAAACCUAGAAACUAUAAGCUUGAAUGAUAAUCUAAUGGAAGGGACUCUUCCUUCUAGUCUCGGACAAUUGACGCAGCUAUGCAAAUUGGAUCUUUCUGGAAAUAACUUCUUGGGGGCAAUACCCGAAAGUUUUGGUGAUAUGAAAAAACUAGA